rnacentral:rRNA from 1 species
UACGGAGGGGGUUAGCGUUGUUCGGAAUGACUGGGCGUAAAGCGCGCGUAGGCGGACCUGCAAGUCGGGGGUGAAAUCCCGGGGCUCAACCCUGGAAUGGCCUUCGAGACUGCCGGUCUUGAGUUCGAGAGAGGUGGGUGGAAUUCCGAGUGUAGAGGUGAAAUUCGUAGAUAUUCGGAGGAACACCGGUGGCGAAGGCGGUUCUCUGGGCAUGAUCUGACGCUGAGGAGCGAAAGUGUGGGGAGCGAACAGG